UACAGAGGGGGCAAGCGUUGUUCGGAAUUACUGGGCGUAAAGGGCGCGUAGGCGGCCUGUUAAGUCGGACGUGAAAUCCCUCGGCUCAACCGGGGAACUGCGUCCGAUACUGGCGGGCUUGAAUUCGGGAGAGGGAUGUGGAAUUCCAGGUGUAGCGGUGAAAUGCGCAGAUAUCAGGAGGAACACCGGUGGCGAAGGCGGGACUCUGGGCCGAUACUGACGCUGAGGAGCGAAAGCGUGGGGAGCGAACAGG
rnacentral:rRNA from 1 species